rnacentral:rRNA from 1 species
GACGAACGCUGGCGGCGUGCUUAACACAUGCAAGUCGAACGGAAAGGCCCUGCUUUUGUGGGGUGCUCGAGUGGCGAACGGGUGAGUAACACGUGAGUAACCUGCCCUUGACUUUGGGAUAACUUCAGGAAACUGGGGCUAAUACCGGAUAGGAGCUCCUGCUGCAUGGUGGGGGUUGGAAAUUUUCGGCGGUUGGGGAUGGACUCGCGGCUUAUCAGCUUGUUGGUGGGGUAGUGGCUUACCAAGGCUUUGACGGGUAGCCGGCCUGAGAGGGUGACCGGCCACAUUGGGACUGAGAUACGGCCCAGACUCCUACGGGAGGCAGCAGUGGGGAAUAUUGCACAAUGGGCGGAAGCCUGAUGCAGCAACGCCGCGUGCGGGAUGACGGCCUUCGGGUUGUAAACCGCUUUAGCCUGUGACGAAGCGUGAGUGACGGUAAUGGGUAAAGAAGCACCGGCUAACUACGUG